GCUGCACGGCGUUAGGUUAUUCCACCCGAUCUCCUCCCUUCUGGAACCUCCGGUCCUCCUCGAUCUCGCCCUCCUCCAUCUCCUCUGCGCCCGCCGAUGUGGGCCGCGUCUCCGUGUCCUCGGCCAUGCCGGCGGCGGCAGCGAUCCGGUCUGGCGUCGGUGCCGACGUGGUUCCCGUCUCAUCCCCUUUCCCAUUAAUCCCGUGUCUGGACCAAGCACGACACCACCUCGGUGUUGCACGUUGCGACAAAUGCCCACCCGGGCUCAAACCCCCUCCCCCACGAGCUCCUCCUCCUCGACGCGCCGCUCUCUUCCUCCCUUCUCUCCUCCGCUGGCCGCUUGGUCGUAGAACUAGUCAGGGCAGGGGACAACAUGGCCGCCACCAAACAGCAGCCGCCCCUAUACAUUGUCGUCGCCGACGACCGCCAGAGGAGCAGCUUCCCCUGCACGCGCCCCAUCCUGCAGAGCGCGCUCCAGCUCAUGGGCUGCAAGCCACACCACACCUUCAAGGUCUGUCUUCCCCCAUCUUGCUUGUCCCCCAAUCUGUCAGCUCACUUCUUUUCGCUUCGGUUCAGUCUGAAUCUUUAGAUUAGACUCAGUAUCCUACCAUCUCUGCCGCAUCCCUGAACCUCCAUAGCAAGCGAUGUAGAUCAGUUUUUUUUGGUAUUCCAUACUCCUGAUAUCCUACCUCAAUUGGCUGAUGGGAUCAGUCUCAUAGUGUUUUUCGUUACAAGUAGCGAGCGAUGUACAUCUGCCUCAUAUCCUGCUUCAAUUGCUGAACCUUCAGAGUGUAUUUAAUUGCAGUAUGAUGUUCACAGCAGGGGCGGAGCUACUAGGAGCCUCCCUGAUGCAUAGGCACCAGGGUCGAUGUUGAUUUCUUGAAGCGAUUGUGUAGAGUUGUUUGGUCGUGCACCAGGUUAGGCUGACAGUGGUGCAUCAGGUACAGAGACAAUCCCACGGCAGCCUUGUUCGGAACUGGUUCAUGGGUAGGCCAGGUCUUGUUCAGACGUGGCCAGGCCUUGGCGUAGCCUUGUGGGCUGUAGCCUUUUGGGUAGGUUUGGUGUGGCUGGGCAUCAAGGCGUCAAUGCCCUUAGGUGUUGUAGCGUCACGCCGACACGCGAUCACUCGACGAACCACAGCGGAUGAGCGAAGCUGCGCUGGGCUCGAGCUUUACAUCUAGCAUCAUCCAUGCUAAUCCGAUCAGCCACUGACCUCAGCUCCAGCUCAAAGGUAGAGUAUGACGUAUAGAUGUAGUAAAUCUUAAAUCUCGGGUUAACCGUUGCAAAAAUUGUGCUUUUAGGCGGUAUCUUCUUUAGAUUUUUUUUAGUUCUAUGUACGUGGGUAUUCUGAAGUUGAGAAUUCAGUUCAUUUACUUGACUUUAUCAAAUGUGGACAGCCACAAGACUGGAGACGGGAGACUUUGUGUAUAGUCUAAUAAUAUUGCAAUAAGUCGCUCCAUCGUCGUAUUUUCCCUCCUUUUUUGCAAUAAUUGUUCAUUCCCAAUUUUUCAGAAACUAUUGCCAAUGUACUAGGCCCCGUUUGAUAGCAAAGUAUUUUCUAAGCAUUUCAAGAAUACUGCAGUUUUUUAGAUUACCAUAGUUUUAUUUACAAUGAGCUGUUUGAUUGCCGCUAAAACUGUAGUUUUAAUAUUGUAGUAUUCGAUAAACUGCAGUUUUUUCUCUGUAUAAUAAAGAGAACCCCAAACCUGUUUUAAAAAUACAGAGAAGGCGAAAAGAACCCCAGAUUUUUGAAGUAUUCGACAAUUCAGAUUCAGGUAUCCUUGUUCAAACUAUACCACAACAAACUACACCUGGUACUUUUAGUAUGGGGUGGGGCUGCGAGUGCAUGGAACGGUGGCUCAGCUCGGCUCAGCCGGCGGGAAGGAGUGAGAGGGACAUAUGAGCUGGUUGUUUCUUCCUCCGGGCUCCUGACGGGAUGGCCCGUAUGUUAGCUAGCUGAGCAUGUUGAUCAGCUCCGGCCAGCAGGCGUGUGCUUGCACUGCUAAUGGCUAGGUAGCUGAGUGUUUGAACGCAUCAAUAUUGUGUUUUGCGGCCACAACCAAACAUGUCACAGUAAUCUCAAUACUUCAACAUACUUUGGUAUGUCAAAACUGUGGUAUCUAGUACCCACUGACAAAAAUAUUGUGGUUUUCAAUACUUCAGUUUUUUUAAUAAGUCUUAUUCAAAGAUUGUCAAUAUUGAUGGGCGUCUCCUGCUCUCCCCCUUUUAUAUUUGGUUGUUUGGUCUCACACUGAAGCUGCUAGAUGUAAUGUGGACUCAGGGCCAGAACAGAGAAGAAGCAGAGCAGCUAGACUCGGUGUGUGUUCAAGGCAACAAAUGCCCUUUUUCCCACUGAACCACCAACACAUGCUAGCUCUGCUCUUUUGAUGUUCACUUACACAAAACACUGUAUCCACACCCGUGCACGCACACAGCCCACACUGUACUACACUAUUUGGGUACACACUCAGUACAAUAUCUUCAGCUUCUACAGUAGCUUGUCUGACUGGUUGUAUUUGGUUUCAAUGAAUUGAUAGGAACACAGCCAAAAGAACGCCGAUAACCGUAAGAAACAGAAGACAACACAAAAUUGGAUCAAAAUCUUACUCACAAGUAAGCUUUGAGAAGAGAAACUUGGAGCUCACCCACACGAACGACGGAACAUGGUCUAACACAGAGUCCUAGAAAGUUUAAUACAAAGCACGUCAAGAGGUUCAAAACAAAGAAACUGAAACUGAAGGUCCACUUUCAAGUAAGCAGAAAAACAAUAUUUUCUAGACCGCAUACAAAGACACUCUGAAAUGCAAGUCAUUGAAGCCUCGUGGGUACGGAUACAUGGCCAAACCUUCAACUAGUUCUCAAAGGUUUCGUAUCCAGAUUGAAGAGCAAGCUCGUGCUACAGCAGCCACCCAGCACCUGUUGUGAUACCUAUUUAUCACCACCAAAACAAGUAUGUUGCAAUUUCCUGUUACGACAAUUGGAAUAUUUGUUGCCAUAAGUUAAUGCCACAAGUGUAGUGGGUUGUGGCAAUAUGCCUAAUGCCGCGAAAACAAAUUUUAAAUUGUCGCAAUAGUUUCUCGCUACAAACAUUUCACCUGUUGUGAUAUCUAUUUAUCGCCACCAAAACAAGUAUGUUGCUA